GAUGAAGAAACGUAGCGAAAUGCGAUAAGUAAUGUGAAUUGCAGAAUUCAGUGAAUCAUCGAAUCUUUGAACGCACAUUGCGCCCCCUGGUAUUCCGGGGGGCAUGCCUGUCCGAGCGUCAUUACAACCCUCAAGCUCAGCUUGGUGUUGGGCCCCGCCGCCCCGGCGGGCCCUAAAGUCAGUGGCGGUGCCGUCCGGCUCCGAGCGUAGUAAUUCUUCUCGCUCUGGAGGUCCGGUCGUGUGCUCGCCAGCAACCCCCAAUUUUUUUCAGGUUGACCUCGGAUCAGGUAGGGAUACCCGCUGAACUUAAGCAUAUCAAUAAGCGGAGGA
rnacentral:misc_RNA from 1 species